UACGUAGGGCGCAAGCGUUGUCCGGAAUUAUUGGGCGUAAAGAGCUCGUAGGCGGCUUGUCACGUCGGGUGUGAAAGCUCGGGGCUUAACCUCGGGUCUGCAUUCGAUACGGGCUGGCUGGAGUGUGGUAGGGGAGAUCGGAAUUCCUGGUGUAGCGGUGAAAUGCGCAGAUAUCAGGAGGAACACCGGUGGCGAAGGCGGAUCUCUGGGCCAUUACUGACGCUGAGGUGCGAAGGCUAGGGGAGCGAACGGG
rnacentral:rRNA from 1 species